UCUGCUGGACAAGCUAACACAGCCUCGACAAAUCAAAACAAACAACUCUGGAAGUAAGCUAACGGUUGGUUGCUGCUUUGUGUCCGUAUACAGCCAAACAGAGAAAGAAAGAGGCCUUCGUCAUGUCGAAUAUGGACAAACACUUGUUCAACCUCAAGUUUGCUGCCAAGGAGCUCCAACGCAACUCAAAGAAAUGUGACAAGGAGGAAAAAGCAGAAAAAAACAAAGUGAAGCAGGCUAUCCAGAAGGGGAACAUGGAGGCAGCCAGGAUCCAUGCAGAGAACGCCAUCCGUCAGAAGCAUCAGUCUAUUAACUUCUUGAGGAUGAGCGCCCGUGUGGAUGCGGUGGCUUCCAGGGUCCAGACUGCUGUCACUAUGAACCAGGUGUCUAAAUCCAUGUCGGGGGUGGUCAAGUCCAUGGAUGCUACACUGAAAAGCAUGAACUUGGAGAAGAUCUCUGCAUUGAUGGACAAGUUUGAGCACCAGUUUGAGACCCUUGAUGUGCAGACAGCUCAGAUGGAAGACACCAUGAGCAGCACCACCACUUUGACAACACCUCAGAAUGAAGUGGAUUUGCUGUUACACGAGAUGGCUGAUGAAGCAGGACUGGAUCUUAACCUGGAGCUUCCUCCAGGCCAGACAUCCACACUGGCGUCAUCCGUGGCAUCAACAGAGCAGGAUGAGCUCUCACAGAGGCUGUCCAGGCUGCGAGAUCAGGUAUCAUAAUGAUGUUUACAAGAAAAGAAAGAAGAAGAGGAGAAGGAAGGAGACACUGAAGUUGAAAAAGAAAAAGUGGAGAAUCGAUUAAAAAAAAAAAGAUGCAAUGUGCCUGCAAGCUUUUUGCCCUCCUCUGUGUUCCAGGGAACAGAUGAGAGGUCAAAGGUGUCACCUAUAGAGGAAGCGGCCUUCUGCCGCUCGCAUGCCAGAGCCUCAUUACAAACACACAGCUCACUACAUCCCUCGUCUCAGCUGGGAGCCAUUACAGGUGCUGUCCGACGCACACAAAUAUCUACGCAUGAACACACCCGCAGCCCUGCAGCUGAUGGCAGUUCUCCAGAGUGACACUCGGCCACCUCUGACCCCUUUUGUGUCCUUCCCAAUCAUCAUCAGCACACACUUAACUACAUCCACAAUCAUCAUCAGUGGCCCCAGACUGACACAAGUCUCUAUUUUGCCUAUUACCAGAUACUUUGAUGAGCUAGCUGUCUGCAGCGAGCACGCACACGCUCCUCUCAGUUGUUCUAUUUGCCGCCGACCCCGGUGAUCCAGCAGCUGUCAGUCAUUUCUGCUUUCAGUUAAAUCAUCUGAAAUUAAAAUUCCUCAUCCCUUUGCAGCAGGAGCCACACAAUCUAUUUGAUACAUUUUUCUUAAAGUCUAUUUUUAACCCCCAAUGGUCAUCUCUUCUCUUUCAACAUGAUUAAAGCUGGGCGAGUCUGCCACGGCCUAUUUUCCUCUCGGCCGUGUGCAUCCCAACAUGUGUGCAGGGAUGCGUCCACCAGAUGUGCAGGAGACGGCUCCUGUAUGGCGCUGCUGCAUGAGGGAAACCCGUGUUUGUGUAUCUAUGUGUGUGUCAGGUGUUGAUACCUUGUGGCUUUCCCCUCCAGUGCCAUCAACACCUCCAUGUUCUGGUUCCUAGAGGAGCGGGACUUGUUGACAGGCGGGGGAUCCGGCGGCCUGGUGGUCUUGUCCCUGUGGCCGACCCGUCUGCUUCUGCAUUAAAAGGGGGUACGUUGGCUCAGUGGAAAAGCUGUAAUUACAACAAGGGGGAUUGGUUGGACCUUCAAGUGAUCCACACACAGGAUGUGAAACGGUAUGUUCAGUUAGUCAUGAGCUGGGACUCAGCAGGAAAACAUCCAUGCCGCUAAAACCCCAGAUUUUAUCUUGAGAAUAAAACCCGCAUGAAUUUAUGACUCCAUAACUUCUGGAUUAGUUCCUAAUAAUUUCCAAGAAGUUUACAGGAAAUAACUAUUAAAUGGGGUGCUUGUUAUAGCGGAAAAAAGAACUAGAAAACUUAACAUACUUACACAUCACACAUUUUAACAAAAAAAGGUAAACAAAUAUCUGAUAUGUAUUUGCAAUUUAGAGCCAAAAGAUAAUGAGAUUAGUAGAUUGACAGUAAAAUAUUUGGAGCUGUUUUAGUAAUUAAUUGUUUCAGAAAUUCACAAGAAAAAAAUUUGAAAACUUAAAAACAUUAGUUGAAGCUUCUCACAUGAGAUGAUUUACUGCUGUAAGCUAAUUGUAAACUGCAUAACUUUUGACUUUUAGGUUUUAUUGUAUUAUUUUUUAAUGUUUAAUAACUGAUUAAUCAAAAAUACUGGGCAGUUUAAUUGAUGAUGAGACCUGAUUGUACUUAAAUUCAGCAGAAAUUCCUCUUUUCCUGUAUAAAUACUCAAACACACAGUUGUUUCCAGGAAACUUCUGACUAAAGUUUCAAAAGCUUAAAAUGUAAAAAUUUUGUGUCACCAAAUUUUUCAUAAAAGUCUCGGGGCUGCAUAUUUAUAGUAUAUAAUGUGUUUAAAGUUAUGUAGGUGUUUGAAAAAAAAGGGGGGGGAUAUUAAAUGAAUGCGCUUCUAGAAUUUUAUAUAGACCACAAUAUUUCACAAGCGCAAGUUUUUGUUGUUUCUAUCUUUUGUUGUAUCUCUUUUAAAAUGGUUUGAAGAUCAAAUUUUACCCUCUUUUGUGAGUGUAGACAGUAAAAAGACCCAUCAUCUAUUUAAAGUGACUUUAAAGGUGGAAAACGUUCACACAAUGAAGCAGCACGCGGUCUUUCUCCUCCUCUACUCAGCUUGUCUGCCUUUUACCUCUCAGCUUCCCAUUUGAAAUAUUCAAUUACCAUCCGUGAAGGGUCAGGUCAAACACAGGAAGCCGACCUGAUUGGUUCUACUCGGAUAUCGAUGGGCAUGUGUGACCAAUCGCUGCUGCCCAGGCUUUCCCCAGUUUCCAUCUGCUGCUGCUGCGCGUGUGUGUGUGUGUGUGUGUGUGUGUGUGUGUCUAAUCGUUCCAGACCGAGGCUUUCCCCAGUUUCCACUCACCUCUUGACCAUUGUAUCCUGUCAGAUGUGUUAACGCUGCUUUUAAUCAGUUUUACUGUCUCAUUCACACACACACACUAACAGCUGGUCCUGUCCAUCGCUGCUCUCCAGAGCACGCUUCAUUAAGAUUUAACCAAUCUCCUGCUCACAACCUCAGUGUCACACACCUGAUCCCACCACUCCUCUCCUCACCCUGUUAACCCCCCUCAACUUAACCCUCACCUCACCCUGUCACCCACUCUGAUAUCUCUUACAGCCAAACAGCCCGUGAACGUGGACAUCUAGCCUUGUCUGCCAUUUUUUGUUUCCACACAUAUGAAUGCAGUAGGUGUGCCAUGCUUGCUUUAUCGGGGUUUUAACUCAUCACCUCACAAAGGGGAAGUGCUGCUUCAGGCUAUAUCAAACAAAUUAGAACUCUCAUUGCAUCCAUGUGUUGCAGAACUAUAACAACACUUCAAGCCGUUUCUUCUUUUCUCUGGUGUGCUCUGUUUAGCAAAGCCGAGCAUGACAAAAAAGAAUAAUUUCCACAACCUUUGCAUGGAUUGAUGUGAAAUUCGGCACGGAUAUUUGUGUUGUCUGUUUGUUUUUCUGGGCCGCAUGGUGUCUCAGUGGUUAGCAUUUUCACCUUGCAGCUAGAAGAUCCCCGGUUGCGUCCCGGCCUUCCUGGAAUCUUUCUGCAUGGAGUUCACAUAUUCUCCCUGUCCAUGGGUGGGUUUUCUCCGGCUUCCUCCCACAGUCCAAAAACAUGCUGAGGUUAAUUGGUAACUCUAAAUUGUCCAUAGGUGUGAAAGUGAGAGUGAUUGUUUGUCUCUAUAUGCAGCCCUGUGACAGACUGGUGACCUGUCCAGAGUGUCCCCCGUCUUCACCCUCAGUCAGCUGGGAUAGACUCCAGCCCUCCUGUGACUCUAAUGAGGAUGAAGCGGUGUAUAGAUAAUGGAUGGACGGAUGUUUGUCUCUGCUGUCAUGUUGUGUUCCUUCUUUUCCCACAUCGCCCCGGCCGGUUGGGGCAGACUGCCACCCUCCCUGGGCCUGGUUCUGCUGGAGGUGUAUUCCUGUUGUCACUGUUGCAAAUAAAAUACAAUAAAAUAACAAUAAUACACAUGAAAUAAUAUAAAGCCACACUAUUUAUAUUAGUUAAGUUCCAUAAAUUAUACUGUAAUGUUUAGCUUUAUUACAUUAGUUAGAUUAGUCUAAUGAUAAUAAUAACUCUGUGGGGUCUCAGCCUUAACAUGUAUUAUAGUCCAGUUAAGUAUUGUGUAUAAUAAUAAUUUUAUACAGAUAGAUAGAUAGAUAGAAUUUUUAUUGGAUUUAAUUCCUAAUAUUUAAGUUACUGUGGUAUAAUCACACUUUAAAUAAAACUACAGGUUCUUAACUGCAAUGUUAAGUCUCGUUAGGUUGCUUUCAUAAAACCAGUUAUAAAUAUUUUUACUGGAAGAAACUUUGGUGCCAUUUAAGAAUGCUGUCUUGACUUACUUUUAUCAUGCUUACGAUGUUAUUCGUUUGAAAUCAUUUUCAGUAUUUGUCUAAUUUGGCAUUCGUUUUAUUAUAAAGCAUUUGUAACUUUGUUUUCAGAACGUGCUAUACAAAUAAUGUCAGUGUACUUAUUAUUAUCAUUUACUAAUAUUAUUUCCCUCUAGAAUGACUUGUAGUAACUUUAGUGAUCCCUAUCUUUUCGGCAGAGGGAAUCAUCCCUGCAUUUUCUGACAUUUUUGUUUAUGGCCUGUAAACUAAUAUUAUUCCUGUCACCUGUACCUGUAGUUUGUGUUUACUGCUACUUAGCAAAGCAGGUUAACACACUAUACUGUGGUAGUGAAAGUGGUAAAAAGUGAUAGCUGCUAGCUUUGCAUAUUAGUGUUUAGCACAAAGGACUGCUAUGCCUGCACUCACAGGACUGUGAGCUGUCAUUAGUUUUACUCUUUUUAAUAUGCUGAUCAACUGCAACACUAAAAACCACCUACCUAAUACUGUGUAGGUCACCCAAAUCUGACCAAAACAGGUCUGAUCCUAUUCUUAUUGUAUUUGGACACGGGUCCUCUGGGGGUGUCCUGUGGUAUGUGGCUCUCUGAUGUUAUAGGGGAACCUCUGGGUCCUGUGGGAUGCAGGGUGGGGCCUCUGUGGAUCAGUCUUGUUCUGGUCCCAUGGAUACUCAGUCAGCGUCACUGGAGCUUUGUUUGGUUCGUUGUCGUGUUUCUCGCACCAUUCCUGAACAGUUUUUGACAUGCAACAAUUGUCUUGCUAGGGGAGGCUGUAGUGCUGGGCUAUGUGUCUAAAAAAGUAACAUCCACAUGAGUACCAGGAAAACAUUUCAAGUGUUAACCAUAACAAGAUAAUCAAUAUUAUUCACACGUUCUGUUUGUGUUUGAGUGUAUAUCUAACGUGUUUCUCUAUAUUUUCAGAAAGUAUUGUGUGCAACUUCAAACAUAAUGCAGUGUUCAAUAUAAACUACUUUGUUUUAUUCCUUUAAAAAGUUUGCAGUAUACUAAAAAGUAAUUAAAAUUAGAAACAAGUUAGUUAAAUCACUCUCUCUUGUAUUUAUGGUUAUAACUCUAAUAGUUUUAACAUGCUGCAACUAUAUCUCUCUUUGCUACAAAGUUAAUCCUGAAUUAAGAUGAAGGGGGUUGUUGACAAGACAACUGUAGUGACAAAGAUGGAAACAGGAAAACAGCAAAUCUACUAAUAGAAUUUACACCUCUGGAAUCACGUUAUUAUUCUACCAGUGGAUUUGUCAGAAUGGUGAGUGUGAGCAGUGAUCAGUCAGGAGUGUGUGUGUGUGUGGUGCAUAUGGUAAAACACUCUGUAGGUCUGCUGUUAGUCACACUCCUGCGUCUCAAAUUGAAUUAGCGUUGACAGCACACAGCGGCAGCCGCGUGUUCAUGUGUGUGUUCGUGUGUGCGCACCGGGGCCACGAGCUGUUGGCAAACUGUCCGUGUGUGUGUGUGAAUCAGAAGAGAAAGAGGACCUUCCCCCCCUGAAAUCAAUUAAGCGAGUAUAGGUCUGUAGUUGUGGGGGUGAGAGGGGCACAUCCUGUAGAGGGCAGCCCAGACGGACAGCACCAUCUGGGGCGGCAGGCGGGUCGACCCCUUGGUUGUGACAUGAAAGAAAGCGAGGCAGGGAUAAGAGGAGAGGAGAGUGCAGGCCGGCGCUAAAUCACUUUUUCCUCUCCGCCCCGUCCCCUCGUCUGCCAUCCGAUACAUCAGCCACGGAGCAUCAUUCUCACUCAGUCACUCUCCACCUCUUUCCUUACUCACUCCCUUCCCUCUGUAUCUGUCCCAGGAGUGAUAACCUGUCAUACACAGGAAGCAAAAAGAGCUAAGAGCGAUCUAUCCCUCUGUCAGAGAUACGGGCAAAGAGAAAAAGAAUAUCUCACAUCUCUUGUUCCAAAAGGGCUGAUUUAUAGGUUUGUAUUAAAUAAAAACCAACACCAGAGCAUCUCUCUCACACACACACCUGUUGAAUCCAACAUCAGACAAGGGGAGGAAUUAGCACGAACGGAUUCUAUUAGGAAGAGGGAAGGUUCUUCAUGAUGGACAGCCUGGGUCAGAGUGUGUGUUGUGUUUGUUGGUAGUGCUGACAGCCAAUGUUCCCUGUAAUUUUUCCUGAGUCUGAGCAAACACACAAACUCCCUGAGCGUUCCUUGGACCACUGUGAGCAACAUCAGACGUGUGCACUGUGGUCACACCAGCAUCACAUCCAUUCAUGUUACAUGGUUCAUUAAAAGAAUCAGAUUACAGCAUUUACAUUACUGUUAAAACACUUUGUCAACAGGAGCCAGUUGAAGGCUGCAGUGAUUUUAGUGACACUACAAUGUAUAAGAGUGAAGUUAUUGAAUAUUUGUCUCUCUUUACUGUUGCAGCGGUUUUGCAAAUUGCAGACGGACCCUGUUCACUCCAUAGACACCAAUGUUAUUCCUGUAGCUUGAAAGACAGCUACUUUUGAUAAAACUGGGCUUGUAGCACAUUGUCUGCCUUGCAACAAUGGGAAAGAGGCACCGUUUAUGUUUUGACAACCUAUAUCUAAUGAGUUAUUGAUGCUGGAAGUCUGAAUCUGUGAAUAUCUUUCCAACUUUACUGAACUUGGGGCCACUACCACCUAAGGAGUGAUAUAUUUAAUUUUGAAAAAAGCACUUAGCCAUACUUAAAUCUUUAAGUGCUUUAUUAACACGGAACUAAAAAUUUUGUAUUGUUUUAUGAUCACAGGUUCUGUCUGAAAAGAGGUGGCAUCAUUUUAAACGGUGAAAUCAAACUAAUAAAAUGUAAUGAUGAACCACUGAGCAAUACUGGAUUCUGCAAAAACAUAAACAACUUUUAAAAAAAUCUAAAUCUCAACACAGUUAAUGUAUUAACUUAUUUUUGUGUGUAUGCAUGUAUUUAUUGAUUUAUUUAGUACUGUUAACAUAGAGUUCUGAGUGAGUUUUUCUUAAGAUAGGCAAAGGCCAUUUAUUGAUCACAUAUAGGCUGUUAAAUGUUUAUUAAAAACUAAAAAGCAUUAAAAAAAAAAAAAAACAACUUAGGCAUUUAUUGAGUCACUAAAAUACUGUAGAGUACAGACCACAUCAGCAUGAUUAUAAGCAUCCUCUGGUAAAUGAACAACCAGAUACUGAUGUCUCUCACCAUAUGGACUUCAGGAGAUGACUGGGGGAUGAUAAACUGUGACCUACUGGUUGGGUUCUCUCUGUUCUCAUGUUUCUUACAUGUUUGUCCCAUGACAGCCGGGUCUUAAUGUUUUUUGAGCAACACACCAUACUAUGAUGUUUUUACAAUGAUGGUUCUACUAUGGAACCAGUUUGACAUGUUCAGGUGUUCUUUGUGUGAAAACUCAGAGAUUUCAGGGAUCAGAAGCUGGUUUUCAACUUUCUUUGUUAACUUUCUGCUUCAGCUUUAAACUAAAUUUCCUUCACUAACCCAGCCCUCUGGACUUCCAGUAAGCUGUGUUCCUAUUGGCUGUCCAGGUGGCUGCUUGGUGUUAUCAGGAACACCUGAGCAGCUUGGUGUUAUCAGGAACACCUGAGCAGCUCAGUGUCUUCCUGCUUUAUGUGGCUGCAAACAAACAUUUCCUCUGUUUCUCUUUACCACUGAUCCGGGUUUGGUUCUGUUGCUUUAGUUUGUUCUUUAGGUGUUGGCUUGCAGCUUCCAGCAGUAAAAUCGUCUUUAAUGUGUUUCUUGGUGUGUUUUAGGGCUUUGUACUGGAUAGUUGUCUUGGUAAAUGUGGUUCUUUAGCCACAGUUAGCACAUGGUGCUAAUGUGUGCAGUGAUUAGUGGAUUUGGUCCAGCUGAGUUGUGUCUUUAUCUUGGCUGUAGUGAGUCUUCAGAGGUUUUUGGUCAGACACAUUCUGUAUUCUUGUUUGUGAAGCAAUGUUGGUUGUCCAGAAGGUAAGAGUUCCUGUCCUGAUUCUCUGUUCUCAGAGGUUCUCUGGUAGGCUGCAGGAGACUUUAGCGUUUGGGUUGUGCUAGUUUGGUUUUUGUAUGGUUUCAUUUGGACUAUCUUGAGGCUCCUCCAUGUGGUUUAGUGAGGUUUUAUGGAACAGUUCUACAAAGCAACCUGCAGCAGAAGAGACUUCGAGAGUUUUUAGGAAGUUCUGGAGACCAGACUUUAGAGCAGCAGAAACAUUUGUCAGCAGUUUGAGCAGGAGAAGGUGAGCUUCAGAGUAGAAAUGAGACAGAAACCUUCUUGACCUGUGUGGUGAGGUCCUGUACCAAGAGUUUGAGUAGGUUGUGAAGAGUCUGUAGUUCUUUGGUCUGAAAGCACAAGAGUCGACUCAUUAAAGGAGAAAACAGGAGAUAUUGUUGGUUCUUCUGUCGCUCUGCAGUUUCCAGUUUCCUUAGACUGAAUAUCAAGUUUCUAUUUUGAAUGAUUUACCAUGUGAGCCCAAGAAGACUUCAAUAAACUCCCUCCAUCCCCUGGACACAACAUAUUUUAUUACCAUGUUAAAUUUUUUUUUUUUUUUUUUUUUUUUUUAUGUUUUUGAGUUUUAAUCAUAGUUUCAGCAUAGUUUUAUCACUUUGCUUGUUUAGUUUUGUCAUUUGUGUGAAAGUGCUAAACAAAUAAAGUUGAAUUGAUAAAGUGAAUAAUUGACUAACUC